rnacentral:rRNA from 1 species
UAUUUUAGUCUUGUUAGAGGAACCUGUUUUAUAAUCGAUAAACCACGAAUAUCCUACUUAUUUUAAAUAAUUUGUAUACCGUCAUUAUCAGAUAACUUUCAAAAAAUUAGUUAUUAAAAUUAAAUAAAAUUAAAUAUAUUAGAUCAAGGUGCAGUUAAUAAAUAAGAAAAAAUGGGUUACAAUAAAAUUUAUUUAUAACGAAUUAUAUAAAUGUAAAAAUAUAUGAAGGAGGAUUUAAUUGUAAUUUUUUUAUAAAAUAAUAAUAUGAUAAUAGCUCUAAAAUAU